GAGAGUGGCGAACUGGUGAGUAACACGUAGGUGACCUGCCUCGAAGACGGGGAUAACCAUCGGAAACGGUGCGCUAAUACCCGAUACAUUCGGCAAUUCAGUUUGUCGAGUAAAGCUCCGGCGCUUCGAGAUGGACCUGCGGCCUAUCAGCUAUUGGUACGGUAAUGGCCUACCAUGCGAAGACGGGUAGGGGGCGUGAGAGCGUGGUCCCCCAACUGGCACUGAGAUACGGGCCAGACUCCUGCGGGAGGCAGCAGUCGGGGAUAUUUGGCAAUCAAGAUUCCCAGCGAAAACGCUGGAUGCAGCGACGCCGCGUGGGCGAUGAAGGCCUUCGGGUUGUAAAGCCCUUUUAUGGGGGAAGAGAAAAAGGACGGUACCCCAAGAAUAAGUCCCGGCUAACUACGUGCCAGCAGCCGCGGUAAAACGUAGGGGACAAGCGUUAUCCGGAUUUACUGGUGCGUAAAGAGCGUUGAGGCGGUUCCGUAAGUUGGGCGUUAAAGCCCCGGGCUCAACUCGGGGAGGUCGUUCAAAUACCUGGCUGAACUUGAGGGCAUGCAGAGGGGAGGCCGGAAUUCCCGGUGUAGCGCUGAAAUGCGUAGAUAUCGGGAGGAACACCAGUGGCGAAGGCGGCCUCCUGGGCUGCUCCGGACGCAGAAGGCGAAAGCUAGGGGAGCGAACGGGAUUAGAAACCCCGGUAGUCCUAGCCGUAAACGAUGGAUGCUGGCUCUGGGGGGUAUAGAUUCCCUCCGUGCCGAAGCUAACGCGUUAAGCAUCCCGCCUGGGGACUACGGCCGCAAGGCUAAAACUCAAACGAAUUGACGGGUCCCCGUACAAGCAGCGGAGCGUGUGGUUUAAUUCGAUGCUACACGAAGAACCUUACCUGGGUUUGACAUGCAAGUAGUAGUGAAGCGAAAGCGGAACGACCCUUCGGGGAGCUUGCACAGGUGCAUGCAUGGCUGUCGUCAGCUCGUGCCGUGAGGUCUCGGGUUAAGUCCCGUUACGAGCGCAACCCUUGCCCUUAGUUAUACGUGUCUAAGGGGCCUGCCCGGGACAACUGGGAGGAAGUUGGGGAUGACGUCAAGUCAGCAUGGCCUUUAUAUCCAGGGCGACACACACGCUACAAUGGCCGGUACAAUGGGUUGCCAAGCCGUGAGGCGGAGCCAAUCCCGCAAAGCCGGUCUAAGUUCGGAUUGUGGCCUGCAACUCGCCCACAUGAAGCUGGAGUUGCUAGUAACCGCGCGUCAGCCAUAGUGCGGUGAAUACGUUCCCGGGGAUUGU
rnacentral:rRNA from 1 species